UGCAGUCGACGGUGAACACGGAGCUUGCUCUGUGGGAUCAGUGGCGAACGGGUGAGUAACACGUGAGCAACCUGCCCCUGACUCUGGGAUAAGCGCUGGAAACGGCGUCUAAUACUGGAUAUGUGACGUGACCGCAUGGUCUGCGUUUGGAAAGAUUUUUCGGUUGGGGAUGGGCUCGCGGCCUAUCAGCUUGUUGGUGAGGUAAUGGCUCACCAAGGCGUCGACGGGUAGCCGGCCUGAGAGGGUGACCGGCCACACUGGGACUGAGACACGGCCCAGACUCCUACGGGAGGCAGCAGUGGGGAAUAUUGCACAAUGGGCGAAAGCCUGAUGCAGCAACGCCGCGUGAGGGAUGACGGCCUUCGGGUUGUAAACCUCUUUUAGCAGGGAAGAAGCGAAAGUGACGGUACCUGCAGAAAAAGCGCCGGCUAACUACGUGCCAGCAGCCGCGGUAAUACGUAGGGCGCAAGCGUUAUCCGGAAUUAUUGGGCGUAAAGAGCUCGUAGGCGGUUUGUCGCGUCUGCUGUGAAAUCCCGAGGCUCAACCUCGGGCCUGCAGUGGGUACGGGCAGACUAGAGUGCGGUAGGGGAGAUUGGAAUUCCUGGUGUAGCGGUGGAAUGCGCAGAUAUCAGGAGGA
rnacentral:rRNA from 1 species